AAAUGGCAGGACUUUCACAAGAAGAUCGCAACAUUAUCAAGAACCAUCCUCUAACCAAUUCAGAUAGAAGCGAAGGAGAGGACAGAGGUAGUAAGGGAGAUGGGGAUCUUCCAAUCAUGAUUCGCUUGCUACCUCUCGCCCUACAGCUGCUUGACCAACUGUUGUGCUUUACGUUAUCAUUGGCUCAUGUCGGACCGUGACUCUAACCGCAUCUGCAACACAACGGGUUGGUUUCCAAGGUUGGCCUACAUUAAUCCUAAAUGGAAAUAGCCGAUGUUCUCAAAUACGAUUUCAAUUCCCCCUAUUUUGUUCGAGCUUAUUACCAUUCUGUCGCAAUUGAAUAGGACUAAUCUCCACCCAGUUCAUUGCUCGGCGGCUCUAUUUGUUCUUUCAUUCAUGUACUGCAUCAAAGCCAAGCCGGAUCAACCCUUUUGCCAUAAUCCUCCCUUUGAUUAUAUAUACCAGCAUUCGUUCCCAGCGAGCUAUCUUCUCUCGCAGAUAUCAUACAUCAUAACUUGCUAACAAUUCUGCAGUUUGCUUCCCAUUCAUCAUAUAUGGCUGAGCUUUCGGACCACGAUUGCGAUAUCAUCGCAAACCAUCCUCUAAGCGACUCACUAUACCGAUUACAAAUCAUGUCCGUUUCGCCCAUUUUUCUUAUCAAGCGAUUGAUGCCAGAUAGAUCACCAAACCGGAUUCCGUCCCUUGUCCAUAUUUGUAAAUCUAUGUAACAUGAGAGUAUCGACUGGCGAUAGAUAUUCAAAGAAAAAAGAAAAAUACAUGAAAAAAUGAAGGAUGAAGAAAAUUGAAACUGUAGGCAUUAGAGAGAAACUGGAUUGUGGGGAGGACACCAGCGUGGUUGAAAUGGAAUAGGGAAUCAGGGGGAAGGAUAAAAUAUACAUCCAAAUAAAAAAAUAAAAAAUAGAGGACAAUGUCGCGCAAACUGGGGAAAACCCCCUGGCCCGAACCCAUCACAACAAUGUAUGCUCUCAUGCCAUAGAAAGAAAGGAGGAGGUGAGUUAUAUUUAUACAGAAUACCUUCUUUGUUUCCCCUCAAAAGGAUCAAACACCAUCUCCAAGCUUUUGUCUCAAAGCUGGAAAUUAAAGUCAUAUCCCAUACUGUUAGCAUCCGGGCGAACAUCUUUGAUGGGAUGGAAAAGUAUUGACGGCAGGAUGACACGUCCGUGUAUGAAUUCGUACUGUAAAAGGCAAGUUAAGUCAAAUUCGUUAGUACAGUACAAAAGGAGAGAGGGGGAGACUAAUUGAAGAGAGAGAGAAAAAAAAGUGGAGGGGGGGAGAGAGGGAAAGAAAUUAAAAAGACUCACAACUCGACCGCCCGUCCAAUCCUUCUGCCACCCCAAAAAAUUCCAAUACAACCUCCCCGCCAAAUUCGCCCGAUAAUACCACGACAAAUCCAAAAACCUCGACUCCCUCUUCCACCCAAAUGGACUAUCCUGAGAGCUGCCCGAGCGCCCAUUAAUUCCCGGAUUAAACCAGCGAUCUGUACUUUUCGCAGGAAGAUCUUUAUCAGAGUAGAUGGGAUGCGGCGCCGCGACGGCCUUGAAACCAUGCAGCAACGCAGUAGAGACGGGUAACAGCUCCGAGGACAUGUGUCUGCCGAACAUGUUCUCCCGAUCCAUCGCGAGAAGCAACCGUCUGGAUAAGCGCGAGUGCGUGAUCAGAGACGCGCGACGUGGCGUUGCUUGGCCGAGGUAGCCGUAGAUUUCGUUGCGGAUGACCCACUCCGUGCCGAUAGGGUGGAAGAUGGGGAGGAAGCCAAUGUAAUCUGCAUCUUCGCCGACGCCCCAUUUGUAAUCCGUGUCUUUGUCUGGCGAGCCUACAGGCGGUGAGGGCCCAAUGGGCCGCGGGUGCGGAUGGUCGAUGGGCACAGCGCCCCAGACAGCUUCGUUUUCAAAGCGUUGUACAAAGGUGCGGAAGGCGUGGUUGUAGCUACCGUGCAGGGCGGGGAUGUAGAAACGGGCGUUCCGUUCCCAGAGGCCCCGGCGCGGUUGGGAGCGGGCGAAGAUGUCAAGUUUGUUGGUGAAUUCAUAGUGGUGGCCUGUGAAGCGGGAGUCGAGUUCCCAGUUCCAGAUGAAUUUGUAUUGUGGGUGAGUAAGGGCAAAAUGUUGGACGGAGAGCCACUGGGAGCGAUGGACGCUGUGUAAGUACAAGGCUAGUUAGUGAUUCACGAGGGUUUUUCUUUUGGAUGCACAAAUACAAAAUGAGUUGACAUAAAAGCUCACUCGGUAAGUUUCAUCUUCACAAGGCGUGGGUAGCGCUUUGACACAACAGGAAUAUUCCAUAGAACAGUCAUAUCCCAGAAUUCCUUAGGCACAUUCUCUUCCACAACUUGCUGGUAUACCUCAUCCUUCUCGAUCUCAAUCUCCUCGUCCUUCACGUGCAGGAGUAGGAUGACCGAAUACUCGCCCCCAGACUGCAGCGAUAGCUCCGAAACCAGCGAACGGAUCGUUUGCAUGUCAUUAUCGGAAUACGUUUUCCCAACAUAUGUGCGAAUAAGGACAGCUGUACGGGCCUCGGGCUCGAUCUGGCGCCUCGGGGAAUCUUGCGGCAAAUCCGCAAGCAGGGACAGAUCCGCCGAGAAUCUAUCUGCGUUUUUCAGGAAGCAUUGCUCUUGCAAUUUACCCCAGUUGACCUUGUCCCAUUGGACCUUGGCCGGUUUCUUCCAAUUUUUAACAAAUGAGUCAUUCUCUCCAUAGCCAUACGCGCCGUAUCUCGUAUAGCGGUCGAAGAAGACAUCUCCAUUAAAUCCUACAGCUUCGUGAGAGCCAAACAUGGGUUUAGGGAACCCUAUUUGAAUAAAAUCACGUUAGCCUGGAAGAAUAAACGGGACAGAGUAAAUGUAAAUAGUAUAUACCGAGAUCGCCUAAAUAAACGCCAACCUGGUCAUCCAGAUUUUUUGAUAUGGGUUUUCCCCUCGGCCCCUCACACGGGUUGAAUCUUCCACGAUGGGAACUUUUCCAGCGAAGACUCUCAUAAUUUGGGUAAGGACGGUAUAUCUUGGGGAUGUCAGGUGCGCUCUUGGCCUCGAAGCGAGGGUCAUCUACGACUUCUGAGUUGCUGUAGUGUUCGGGAGUGGUGAGAUGGGAUAGAGUCGAGACGAAUUUCCUGAAUACGCUAUGGAGUAGCAAAACGAUUCAGAGUCAGUACACCAACUGUUUUGGGAUAAUUUAACCAAAGGGCGUAUUGAUGAUAGAUAUGGAUAGCUAUAGAACGGACCUGGGAUACUGGCGAGAUUCCGUAAAAUAUUGUUGUUGCU
rnacentral:sRNA from 2 species